UUUGAUCCUGGCUCAAAUUGAACGCUGGCGGCGUGCUUUCCUCAUGCAAGUCAAACGGCAGCACGGACUUCGGUCUGGGGGCGAGGGGCGAACGGGUGAGUAAUACAUCGAAACGUACCUUUUAGUUGGGGAUAACGCAUCAAAAGAUGUGCUAAUACCGAAUAAUCUCUGAGGAGGAAAGGCGGGGAUCGGAAACAACCUGUCGCUGAAAGAGCGGCCGAUGGCCGAUUAGCUAGUUGGCGGGGUAAAUGCCCACCAAGGCAAUGAUCGGUAGCUGUUCUGAGAGGAAAAUCACCCACACUGGGACUGAGACACGGCCCAAACUCCUACGGGAGGCAGCAGGGGGAAAUUUUGGACAAUGGGGGCAACCCUGAUCCAGCAACGCCGCGUGAAUGAAGAAGGCCUUAGGGUUGUAAAGUUCUUUUGUCUGGAAGCAAAAGCAUGGUGCUAAUACCACCUUGUGCUGAGAGUACCAAAAAAAUAAGCAC
rnacentral:rRNA from 1 species